GUCGAGAAUUUUUCUCAAUGGGGGAAACCCUGAAGGAGCGACGCCGCGUGAGGGAUGAAGGGCUUCGGCCCGUAAACCUCUGUCAUUUGCGAACAAACGUUAUGCGUGAACAACGCAUGACUUGAUUGUAGCGAAAGAGGAAGGGACGGCUAACUCUGUGCCAGCAGCCGCGGUAAUACAGAGGUCCCAAGCGUUGUUCGGAUUCACUGGGCGUAAAGGGUGCGCAGGUGGGCUGGUAAGUUCGAUGUGAAAGCCCCGGGCUUAACCCGGGAAUGGCAUUGGAUACUACUGGUCUGGAGGAUUGGAGGGGGGACUGGAAUUCUUGGUGUAGCAGUGAAAUGCGUAGAUAUCAAGAGGAACACCAGUGGCGAAGGCGAGUCCCUGGACAAUUCCUGACACUGAGGCACGAAAGCCGGGGGAGCAAACAGG
rnacentral:rRNA from 1 species